UGUGAACUCGAAGAGUAGGGCGGGACACGUGGUAUCCUGUCUGAAUAUGGGGGGACCAUCCUCCAAGGCUAAAUACUCCUGACUGACCGAUAGUGAACCAGUACCGUGAGGGAAAGGCGAAAAGAACCCCGGCGAGGGGAGUGAAAAAGAACCUGAAACCGUGUACGUACAAGCAGUGGGAGCACCUUCGGGUGUGACUGCGUACCUUUUGUAUAAUGGGUCAGCGACUUAUAUUCUGUAGCAAGGUUAACCGUAUAGGGGAGCCGCAGGGAAACCGAGUCUUAACUGGGCGUUAAGUUGCAGGGUAUAGACCCGAAACCCGGUGAUCUAGCCAUGGGCAGGUUGAAGGUUGGGUAACACUAACUGGAGGACCGAACCGACUAAUGUUGAAAAAUUAGCGGAUGACUUGUGGCUGGGGGUGAAAGGCCAAUCAAACCGGGAGAUAGCUGGUUCUCCCCGAAAGCUAUUUAGGUAGCGCCUCGUGAAUUCAUCUUCGGGGGUAGAGCACUGUUUCGGCUAGGGGGUCAUCCCGACUUACCAACCCGAUGCAAACUACGAAUACCGAAGAAUGUUAUCACGGGAGACACACGGCGGGUGCUAACGUCCGUCGUGAAGAGGGAAACAACCCAGACCGCCAGCUAAGGUCCCAAAGUCAUGGUUAAGUGGGAAACGAUGUGGGAAGGCACAGACAGCCAGGAUGUUGGCUUAGAAGCAGCCAUCAUUUAAAGAAAGCGUAAUAGCUCACUGGUCGAGUCGGCCUGCGCGGAAGAUGUAACGGGGCUAAACCAUGCACCGAAGCUGCGGCAGCGACACUAUGUGUUGUUGGGUAGGGGAGCGUUCUGUAAGCCUGCGAAGGUGACCUGUGAGGGUUGCUGGAGGUAUCAGAAGUGCGAAUGCUGACAUAAGUAACGAUAAAGCGGGUGAAAAGCCCGCUCGCCGGAAGACCAAGGGUUCCUGUCCAACGUUAAUCGGGGCAGGGUGAGUCGACCCCUAAGGCGAGGCCGAAAGGCGUAGUCGAUGGGAAACAGGUUAAUAUUCCUGUACUUGGUGUUACUGCGAAGGGGGGACGGAGAAGGCUAUGUUAGCCGGGCGACGGUUGUCCCGGUUUAAGCAUGUAGGCUGGUUAUCCAGGCAAAUCCGGAUAAUCAAGGCUGAGGUGUGAUGACGAGGCACUACGGUGCUGAAGUAACAAAUGCCCUGCUUCCAGGAAAAGCCUCUAAGCAUCAGGUAACAUUAAAUCGUACCCCAAACCGACACAGGUGGUCAGGUAGAGAAUACCAAGGCGCUUGAGAGAACUCGGGUGAAGGAACUAGGCAAAAUGGUGCCGUAACUUCGGGAGAAGGCACGCUGGUGUGUAGGUGAAGUCCCUGCGGAUGGAGCUGAGACCAGUCGAAGAUACCAGCUGGCUGCAACUGUUUAUUAAAAACACAGCACUGUGCAAACACGAAAGUGGACGUAUACGGUGUGACGCCUGCCCGGUGCCGGAAGGUUAAUUGAUGGGGUUAUCCGUAAGGAGAAGCUCUUGAUCGAAGCCCCGGUAAACGGCGGCCGUAACUAUAACGGUCCUAAGGUAGCGAAAUUCCUUGUCGGGUAAGUUCCGACCUGCACGAAUGGCGUAAUGAUGGCCAGGCUGUCUCCACCCGAGACUCAGUGAAAUUGAACUCGCUGUGAAGAUGCAGUGUACCCGCGGCAAGACGGAAAGACCCCGUGAACCUUUACUAUAGCUUGACACUGAACAUUGAGCCUUGAUGUGUAGGAUAGGUGGGAGGCUUUGAAGCGUGGACGCCAGUCUGCGUGGAGCCAACCUUGAAAUACCACCCUUUAAUGUUUGAUGUUCUAACGUUGGCCCCUGACCGGGGUUGCGGACAGUGUCUGGUGGGUAGUUUGACUGGGGCGGUCUCCUCCCAAAGCGUAACGGAGGAGCACGAAGGUUAGCUAAUCCUGGUCGGACAUCAGGAGGUUAGUGCAAUGGCAUAAGCUAGCUUGACUGCGAGCGUGACGGCGCGAGCAGGUGCGAAAGCAGGUCAUAGUGAUCCGGUGGUUCUGAAUGGAAGGGCCAUCGCUCAACGGAUAAAAGGUACUCCGGGGAUAACAGGCUGAUACCGCCCAAGAGUUCAUAUCGACGGCGGUGUUUGGCACCUCGAUGUCGGCUCAUCACAUCCUGGGGCUGAAGUAGGUCCCAAGGGUAUGGCUGUUCGCCAUUUAAAGUGGUACGCGAGCUGGGUUUAGAACGUCGUGAGACAGUUCGGUCCCUAUCUGCCGUGGGCGCUGGAGAAUUGAGGGGGGCUGCUCCUAGUACGAGAGGACCGGAGUGGACGCAUCACUGGUGUUCGGGUUGUCAUGCCAAUGGCACUGCCCGGUAGCUAAAUGCGGAAGAGAUAAGUGCUGAAAGCAUCUAAGCACGAAACUUGCCCCGAGAUGAGUUCUCCCUGAGACUUUAAGUCUCCUGAAGGAACGUU
rnacentral:rRNA from 1 species